UACGAGGGGGGGGCGAGCGUUGUUCGGAAUUAUUGGGCGUAAAGGGUGCGUAGGCGGUUCCGCAAGUCCUGUGUGAAAUCUUCGGGCUCAACUCGAAGUCUGCACGGGAAACUGCGGGGCUUGAGUGUGGGAGAGGUGAGUGGAAUUCCCGGUGUAGCGGUGAAAUGCGUAGAUAGUCGGGAGGAACACCUGUGGCGAAAGCGGCUCACUGGACCAUAACUGACGCUGAUGCACGAAAGCUGGGGGAGCAAACAGG
rnacentral:rRNA from 1 species